rnacentral:rRNA from 1 species
UCUGGUGGCUAUAGCAAGGAGGUCACACCUGUUCCCAUGCCGAACACAGAAGUUAAGCUCCUUAGCGUCGAUGGUAGUCGAACUU